CGCGAGUCGACAGUUGUCUGGUGUAGUCCGUGCUAGUCGGCGGGAGUCGGCAUGUGUCGGCUGUGUGCUCUGCUCGGGACUCUGGUCAGGACUCUGGAGGAUGAGUAUUGUUGUAGAAGGUUUAUUUUGUUGCGUUCAGUGCCGUAAAUAACCCUUGUACACCCACAAGCAAAGUGUUGGGGUCUUCGACUUCUUCGACACAAGGACGGCGGAGUGACGAGGCAACGAAAAGUGUGUCAGACGCCCCAGCUGGAGGUAUCCCCUCCACUCUCCCCCACCAACUCCGCGCUGCGAGAGGAGGAGAAUACCGAUUGCGCAUGCGCUAGUUGCAAGCUGAACUCACGUGGACGUCGCAUCGUGAAGAUAACGCGUACUUAUUUGCACUCACGAUAGUGCUUUAUAAGUGACGGUGAAAGCACAACAACUCAUCUAAACUGGAGGUCCUCUUACCUGUGCCGUGUACUGUGUAGCGACCGCAGGCAGCGGAUGCACAGCGUAGACACACAGCAACUCAAGGGGUGGCCAUAGUGCGUGCGCAGAGCGGAGAUUUUUCACCGCUCGCGCAUUAAGCCAGUUCGCGCGCGCUC